rnacentral:rRNA from 1 species
AGAGUUUGAUCCUGGCUCAGGAUGAACGCUAGCUACAGGCUUAACACAUGCAAGUCGAGGGGAAACGACAUCGAAAGCUUGCUUUUGAUGGGCGUCGACCGGCGCACGGGUGAGUAACGCGUAUCCAACCUGCCCAUCACUUGGGGAUAACCUUGCGAAAGUAAGACUAAUACCCAAUGACGUCUCUAGAAGACAUCUGAAAGAGAUUAAAGAUUUAUCGGUGAUGGAUGGGGAUGCGUCUGAUUAGCUUGUUGGUCGGGGUAACGGCCCGACCAACGGCGACGAUCAGUAGGGGUUCGUGAGAGGAAGGUCCCCGACCAUUGGAACUGAGACAGGUCCCCCCCCGAAUCCUACGGGAGGCGA